rnacentral:misc_RNA from 1 species
GAUGAAGAACGUAGUGAAAUGCGAUAAGUAGUGUGAAUUGCAGAAUUCAGUGAAUCAUCGAAUCUUUGAACGCACAUUGCGCCCCAUGGUAUUCCGUGGGGCAUGCCUGUUCGAGCGUCGUUUACCCCCUCAAGCUCCGCUUGGUGUUGGGCGUCUGUCCCGCUUCGCGCGCGGACUCGCCCCAAAGGUAUUGGCAGCGGUCGUGCCAGCUUCUCGCGCAGCACAUUGCGCUUCUCGAGGCACCGGUGGGCCCGCGUCCAUCAAGCUCACCCCCCCAGUUUGACCUCGGAUCAGGUAGGGAUACCCGCUGAACUUAAGCAUAUCAAUAAGCGGAGGA